rnacentral:tRNA from 2 species
AGUCCCGUGGUGUAGCGGCCAAUCAUAAUGGCCUUUGGAGCCAUUGACCCCAGUUCGAAUCUGGGCGGGACUA